rnacentral:rRNA from 1 species
UACGGAGGAUUCAAGCGUUAUCCGGAUUUAUUGGGUUUAAAGGGUGCGUAGGCGGCAGAUUAAGUUAGAGGUGAAAUUCCGAGGCUCAACCUUGGCACUGCCUCUGAUACUGGUUUGCUAGCGAGUAGAUGCUGUAGGCGGAAUGUGUGGUGUAGCGGUGAAAUGCAUAGAGAUCACGCAGAACCCCGAUUGCGAAGGCAGCCUUCCGGCGCCCUACUGACGCUGAGGCACGAAAGUGCGGGGAUCGAACAGG